GUGAACGCUGGCGGUAGGCCUAACACAUGCAAGUCGAACGGCAGCACAGUAAGAGCUUGCUCUUACGGGUGGCGAGUGGCGGACGGGUGAGGAAUACAUCGGAAUCUACUUUUUCGUGGGGGAUAACGUAGGGAAACUUACGCUAAUACCGCAUACGACCUACGGGUGAAAGCAGGGGAUCUUCGGACCUUGCGCGAUUGAAUGAGCCGAUGUCGGAUUAGCUAGUUGGCGGGGUAAAGGCCCACCAAGGCGACGAUCCGUAGCUGGUCUGAGAGGAUGAUCAGCCACACUGGAACUGAGACACGGUCCAGACUCCUACGGGAGGCAGCAGUGGGGAAUAUUGGACAAUGGGCGCAAGCCUGAUCCAGCCAUACCGCGUGGGUGAAGAAGGCCUCCGGGUUGUAAAGCCCUUUUGUUGGGAAAGAAAAGCAGCAGGUUAAUACCCCGCUGUUCUGACGGUACCCAAAGAAUAAGCACCGGCUAACUUCG
rnacentral:rRNA from 1 species